rnacentral:rRNA from 1 species
AUGAUUGUUGCUUCUAAAGGAAAUAAUGAUAUGCACGAAUCUAUAGAUAAUUAUGAUUCCGAUGAUUUGAUUGAAAUAUCCCUUGAUAAACAUGAUGCUUGCUAUCCUUGUGGCCAUGAUGCCAAUAUUUAUGAAGAUGAAUUUGCUAUAGUUCCUUACGUUAAACAUGAGAUCGUUGCUAUUGCACCCAUACUUGGUAGUUCCUUCGAUAAAAAGCAUGAUUGCAAUGAUUUUACUAUAAAUUCUCUUGAUGUCAAUUGUGCUAAUAAUAUGCAAAACCCUAAUCUUGGGGAUGCUAGUUUUGCUAUGUCUACUACUUGUUGCAAUGAUCAUGAUUGGGGUGAUUCUUCUUAUGAUCUUGAAAAUUUAUUUAAGACCCAUGAUGAACAUGAGAUUGAUAAUAAUGUUUGCAAUAAUAUUGAAAGUGGAUUUGGAAGAGUGUCAACUUUAGAUCCCACAUAUUUGGAGAAUGUUCAAUCUUAUGGUAUUUUUGAUAAAAGUGGGUUUGGAGAGGUCAUGACUUUAUUUAAUGAUAAUCCCACUAUUUUGGAAGAGUGUCAACUUCAUAUGCAUGUGGAUCGUGUUGAGAAUAUUUUAUGUGAUAGCUAUUUUGUUGAAUUUGCUUAUGAUCCCACAUUUAAUUAUUAUGAGAGAGGAAAAUAUGGUUGUAUAAAUCUUCAUGAUAAUAAAUUACCUCUCGUUAUGUUGAGAUUGCUAUUGUUUCUUUCCGCUUCCUUGCAUAUGCUAGUUUUUGCUUGCUAUGACAAUUUGUUUGCCUACAAGAUGCCUAUGCAUAGCAAGUAUGUUAGACUUAGAUGUGUUUUUCACAUGCUAUAUGAUGCUCUCUUUGUGCUUAAAUUCUUGUCUUUCAUGUGA